rnacentral:rRNA from 1 species
CCUACGGGAGGCUGCAGUGAGGAAUAUUGGUCAAUGGUCGGGAGACUGAACCAGCCAAGCCGCGUGAGGGAUGAAGGUACAGAGUAUCGUAAACCUCUUUUGUCAGGGAACAAAGGCGGGGACGUGUCCCCGGAUGAGUGUACCUGAAGAAAAAGCAUCGGCUAACUCCGUGCCAGCAGCCGCGGUAAUACGGAGGAUGCGAGCGUUAUCCGGAUUUAUUGGGUUUAAAGGGUGGGCAGGCGGUCUGUUAAGUCAGCGGUCAAAGCCCGGGGCUCAACCCCGGCCCGCCGUUGAAACUGGCAGUCGCGAGUUGGAGAGAAGUAUGCGGAAUGCGCGGUGUAGCGGUGAAAUGCAUAGAUAUCGCGCAGAACUCCGAUUGCGAAGGCAGCAUGCCGGCUCCACACUGACGCUGAGGCACGAAAGCGUGGGUAUCGAACAGGAUUAGAUACCCGUGUAGUC